GUCAGCUAUAAAAUAUUCUCCACUGCCAAGGCCAAUUGCUGCAACUGCCCUGUUUCUACCCAUUAUAUGCUACUUUAUUAAUCACAGUGGUUUCACACUUUUCUUAUUUUCUUGAAUUUUUAUAUAUUCUCUUAAAUCUUUUUCAUCUUCUUUUGCUUUUAUUCUUUUUUCUUUUUAUAUUUGCUUAUUUAUGUUGGAGGCAUGCUUCAAAAGCCUAGUGAUUUUCAGAUUCAUCGUAUAAUGAAGUUAUAAGCUAUGUUUGUUGAGUGGUGGGCUGGUUUUUUCGGGGCAGCUCCUAAAUGUCAAGAUCUAUGACUUCUUUUUGGAGGGACUAUUCCUGUGCUCCAAAGAUUUGUUCAGUCUUCUCUAUUGGGACUACAAGUCGGACUUCUAAUAUUCUAGGAGGUUUCUGAGUGGACAUUGAUUGAUUACCAGCACCGGAAUCUGAGCAACCCACUGAGCCGGCCAAAACAGCGGCGUUAAGACUGAUGAUGCUCUUCUGCCCGGGAAUCUCCAGUCUGGCUUCCUUCUUGAGUCCAUAAUAGGUGACACUGCCUUCCUGGAGCUCCAAACGUCAGUCUGAAGGGAAACCAGUCCCAUUUACUCUGCACCAAGAGCUGUCGUGCCGAGGCACCGGCAAAACCGCUGCGCCGGGCACAAGAGUCGCCCUGGCAACCAGUGGGGCUCCUCCACUGGGAAUCUUCUGGUCCGUGAGUGAAAAAAAUUGAUCUGAAAGUGUGGCAUCCUGUCAUUCUCUGUGCUUUCCCUGGGAGCUACAAUCCUGAGCUGUUAGUGAUCAGCCAUCUUGGAUCUCUCUCUCCAAAGAACUUUUAUGUAGGUUAUUUAUUUUGAGAAGUUAUCAGAAGCACCUGGAUGAAGGGCUAGGAACUGGGGAAGGGUAAGAAUCAAUGGAAGAAUAUAUUGUUCAAAGUUCUUGUGCUAAUUAUUCACCAUCAGAGACAACUGGAGUCCAGUUCUCACUGGAAACCCGCUGAGAAGCUGAGUAGAGAUCCCUAG
rnacentral:lncRNA from 13 species